GUUGUCAUCUUUUUAUUUGAUAAUCUAAGGGAAAAGAGGUCAGUGCCCCUGACUAAAUAGUCGGGUAUUGCAGGUUUUAAAUAUUCUUGUGGCACAUUGAU